rnacentral:rRNA from 1 species
GACGAACGCUGGCGGCGUGCUUAACACAUGCAAGUCGAACGAAGAGCGAUGGAAGCUUGCUUCUAUCAAUCUUAGUGGCGAACGGGUGAGUAACGCGUAAUCAACCUGCCCUUCAGAGGGGGACAACAGUUGGAAACGACUGCUAAUACCGCAUACGAUCUAAUCUCGGCAUCGAGGAUAGAUGAAAGGUGGCCUCUACAUGUAAGCUAUCACUGAAGGAGGGGAUUGCGUCUGAUUAGCUAGUUGGAGGGGUAACGGCCCACCAAGGCGAUGAUCAGUAGCCGGUCUGAGAGGAUGAACGGCCACAUUGGGACUGAGACACGGCCCAGACUCCUACGGGAGGCAGCAGUGGGGAAUCUUCCGCAAUGGACGAAAGUCUGACGGAGCAACGCCGCGUGAGGGAUGACGGCCUUCGGGUUGGAAAGCUCUGUUAAUCGGGACGAAAGGCCUUCUUGCGAAUAGUGAGAAGGAUUGACGGUACCGGAAGAGAAAGCCACGGCUAACUACGUG